GAUGAAGAACGUAGUGAAAUGCGAUAAGUAAUGUGAAUUGCAGAAUUCAGUGAAUCAUCGAAUCUUUGAACGCACCUUGCGCCCUUUGGCCAUUCCGAAGGGCAUGCCUGUUUGAGUAUCAUGAACACCUCAACUCUCAUGGCUCGCCAUGAUGAGCUUGGACUUUGGGGGUCUUGCUGGCCUGUGGUCGGCUCCUCUCAAAUGGAUCAGCUUGCCAGUGUUUGGUGGCAUCACAGGUGUGAUAACUAUCUGCGCUUGUGGUUUUCCAUCAGAUAACCUUCAGUGAUGGAGGUUCGCUGGAGCUCAUAAACGUCUCCCCUAAGCGGGGACAGCCCUUUGAAUGUUUGAUCUCAAAUCAGGUAGGACUACCCGCUGAACUUAAGCAUAUCAAUAAGCGGAGGA
rnacentral:misc_RNA from 1 species